GUGCUCACUUCAGAAGCACAAAUGCUAAAAUUGGAAUGAGGCAGAGAAAUUUAGCACAUCCCCAUGUGCAAGAAUGACAGGCAAUCUCUCUCACCAACUUUACAUUUCC